UCUUGUUAUUCAACUAUGCCAAGAUAAAUUCAAUUUUCAAUUCGAUGGCACCUUUAACAUUCUUUUCACAUUUUUCUUCUUCUAAAAGCAUUGAUAAUGUCUUGCAAUUUUUGUUGUUGUCAUUUUUUGUUUAGAUCAUAGCAUAUCAUAUCUCUCAAGGUGAAGCAGAGGUUUUUUGUGAGGAUAACAGUAUCAGUAUUGCAGUAAGCAAAGCCGUGAAGGGGAUUGAUCAAAACUGGCUCCAGCUGAGAGACCCCACCUGCUCUCUUACUUCCAAUGACACACAUAUCCUGGGCACCUGUGUCCCUCAACACCUGUGGUACCACGAUGGAGACUCAGGAGACUUCAUGGUCUUCAAAAAUUGUUCUACUGACAAUAACUUCAGCAAUCCAGUGAUCCCAGUCUGUAUCCACUGGAGAUAAAUUUGCUGGAUAUGCUCUGGGUAUUGCAGCCUAUUCUGCUCUCCCUGAGGUCCAGCUCUUUGUGGAGUCUUGCAGGGCCACUCUAGAUGACAACCCAUACACUUCCCAUUUUUAUGACAUCAUCAAAGAAGGGUGCAUUGUGGAUGACACAGUUGAGGUUUAUCAUAGUGAUGUUAGAGCGUAUGACUUUGGGAUCCAAGCUUUCAAGUUCACAGGCGGCUACAAUGAGGUGUACAUUACCUGCUCUGGUAUUCUGUGUGCGGAAGAAAGCUCAAAUUCCAGAUGAUUAGCCAUUGUUAGUCAAGGCUGCCUCAGAGAUCUCGCACGCAAACGCAAACGAGAUCAUCAGAAAAUGGUGGUUCUCUUCAUAUCAGUGCAGGCAUCGCAGUCUUCACAGGACUCUUUAUUGUCUCCAUUGUGGUGCUGGUUGGAAUGUGGGUAUACAACGGCAAAAAAACAAGAGAAACUGACCGCAUGUAUCUGAUGUCCAGCUUCUGAAAAACAUAUAAACAUAAUACAUGAAUGUCCAAUUCAGUUCAUGAAACCUCUAUGUUUAUGUUAAUGAAAAAUAUAAUUCAAAUGUGGUGAAAUCUGCAAUUCUUUCUAACAGACAUUGUACAUCUCUAAAAGUUUCACAUACAUGAAAGGGUUUGUAUUUUAGAAACUGUUCAUAUUUUGAUAGUGUGUGUAUCAGAUUCUGUCCGAAGGUAAAGACUUUUACAGGUGCAUUACAUGAAUAAAUGAAUAGCUUAGAAAAAUAAAUAUCAGCAGCAUAAUUGCCUUUGCCUAGUACUUUACUCUUUUCAACUCUUUUUCAUCUUGUUUUAAACAUUAGUUUAGAAUCAUCCAGUAACUUGAUGUAAUGUUGUUGCCUAUAAGUGUCACGGCUACACAACCUGCACCUUCAGACACGGACACUUACGCCACGCCCACUCGUUCACAAUCACCGGAAUACUGAACACCUGUGCAUCAUCACCAGAGCCACAUAUAAGCACACCAGUCCCGUUCACUCAUUGUCUGGUCUUGCACCGAUCCCUACACGUCACUCGACCUCGUCUUACCUGAACUUUGUACCUACCUGUUGUCUUCAUCUCCAGUCCUGAGUUCCCCGUCAUCAUCUGUGUCUUCAUCGUCAUCUGCCAAGGAAAGUUAUCAUUGUUAUACCUAUUGUCUGUUCUACGUGUCAAGAUUCUCUACCUGUGUCAUCACCUGUGUCUGAAACCUCUGUCAAUAAACACUGUUGCACUUAC